rnacentral:lncRNA from 1 species
GUCGAUUUGAUGAGCUCUCCAACAAGCCCGAUGUUCCUGCUGAUGAUUAGUCUACAAAGUAUCUAAUGGGCAAUUCUCCAUGGAGAGAAUGGUCAUUGCUCAUUGAGAGGAUGGUGAAUGGCUUUUGAUUAGAUUUUAGGGAACAGGGAUGCCUCCAAAAUGAUCCCAUUGGCUAGGACUUUGAAGAGGACAAACUCUUGUAAGAACAGGACCUCCACUGUGCCAGCAUCUAAAGAUGAGAAAACUGAGGUAUGGAGACGCUAAGUGAGAGACCCAGAGCCACAAAGCUAGCAAGCAUCAGAAGCCAGAUCUGAACCUAGGUUUUCCCAACUCCAAGCCCACCAUUCUAUUCGUUCCAGAGGCCAUGCUAUCUCUAUAGAGAAGGAAUGACUAUUUUCAACUCUAUCCUGAGGUUUG